rnacentral:rRNA from 1 species
CCUACGGGAGGCAGCAGUGGGGAAUAUUGGACAAUGGGCGAAAGCCUGAUCCAGCAAUGCCGCGUGAGUGAUGAAGGCCUUAGGGUCGUAAAGCUCUUUUACCAGGGAUGAUAAUGACAGUACCUGGAGAAUAAGCUCCGGCUAACUCCGUGCCAGCAGCCGCGGUAAUACGGAGGGAGCUAGCGUUGUUCGGAAUUACUGGGCGUAAAGCGUGCGUAGGCGGUUAUUCAAGUCAGAGGUGAAAGCCCGGGGCUCAACCCCGGAACGGCCUUUGAAACUAGAUAACUAGAAUCUUGGAGAGGUCAGUGGAAUUCCGAGUGUAGAGGUGAAAUUCGUAGAUAUUCGGAAGAACACCAGCGGCGAAGGCGACUGACUGGACAAGUAUUGACGCUGAGGUACGAAAGCGUGGGGAGCAAACAGGAUUAGAUACCCUGGUAGUCCACGCCGUAAACGAUGAUAACUAGCUGUCCGGACACUUGGUGUUUGGGUGGCGCAGCUACGACAUUAAGUUAUCCGUCCGUCGGGUAGGUACGGUCGCGAGAGUUAAACGUACAAAUAGAAGUUAGACGGUCGUGAGACGUUGUCGACGGACGACGACGAGGGAGGAGG